GAUAGUGCAGCUGGUGGCCUUGAGAGAAGGAGUUGGAAGAGACCUCAGCAAGGGCUGCCCUGCUUCCCAGGGACCUGCUUUUAUGCUGGGGGUCUUGCCCUUGGUCCCUGCCCACGAUGUGCUGCAGCUGUGUGGCAGCCGUGCCUGCACCCCGCCAUGGACCUGCUGAUCUGUAGGAUGUGGGAAAGCAGGUCCUGGGCCCAGCAUCAUCCAGGAUGAAUCCCAAGCCGUGAGAUCAAUGUAUGUAUAAACGAGCUCUGUAGACUUUGUCCUACCGAACUUCUAUUGAAGGCUGAAGCCAGCGAGUCUGCCACCAAUGCAGUUUGUUAUGAAGCUGCAGUCUGCUUGUAAACAAGGAUUUGUAGAUGAAAACAUAGGGAAGUUUUUGCCAAGCCCUCUCUGACACAGUUUGUGAUCAGCUCUGCCUAACUGCUAACCUCUCAUAUGCAAAGAGAAAAGCUUUCUCCUGCCUCCUGAUGACUGCCAGAGCCUGUGACUCGGCUGCAUCCACAGGCUUUCACUUUUUAUUAUCGGCUGUGAUGCGUAAGUGCUGCUCUCCAGAUUUCACACUUCUGCAGCAAGACAGCUUCCCUCCACAGAGGCAGCGAGACGAGGCAAACAUUUCCCCACUUCGUGCUCACAUAUUCUCACUGUUGCGACUGAGACUCGAGUUUCACUCAUUCACCUUCUGCCGAUUGUGGCUUUUCUUCCAAAGCUAACGCGUCUCUUGCAGCUGCAGCGGGGACUCGUGCACUUGACUCCUACUUCAGAUUAACAAAGCUCUCCCUACCGACUCCGAAAAUGACAGCCCGCUCAGCUUCUGCGGAAACGCUCUCCAGCACUUCUGGGAGAGCUGCCGUCUGCCUCACCGUCCAGACUGUGCAUGGCUUGAAGCUGCCUACAAGAUUUAUUUCUGUGUCUGGAAGGAGACUCUCGCUGCGCUGUCCCAGUCACAAUCUGUGCUUUUUUAAUCAGAUCUCGGCCCCCCAUCUCUAGUUGCAAAUCUGGCUCUUCUGCCUCAGAUCGGUCACAAACAUUUGUUUCUCUCCCAUUGUCUUUGUGUUCUUUGUUUCCACACAGUGCAAUUUCUUAAAAUAUUCUUCUCCUGUCCCAGAGUUCAAUCAAAGCCAUGGAACACAACAGAAAUCUGUUUCACUCAGCAUGUGAUUUUGAAUUGGCAAUUAACUUUCCUCUGAAACAAAUUAAUAAAAACAACUCCAUGAUCCACAGAAAUACUCCAGCCUUCAAUGAAAGAACAGCAAGAUCAAAUGCUCAAAAUUAAGACAUGACAGCCUGAUAAUUGACUGUGUAAUUUACACAUAACCACACGUUUUCUUGCCCAGAGCAGAAGACAGACUAUCGAGCAACAGAACUGUGUUUGGACAGGCAUCCUCUGCUUGGUCUUCUGGAUGUGGCACAUUUGAUGAGAAUCUAAAUAAUCUCAGUGUAUAUAUUGGUUUUUAGCAUAUUAUUUUGUACAGAAGUAAGACCCAAACAAUUGGUUUUGUUUUGUUUUGUUUUUCUAUUAACAGUUUGAUAUAAAAAGGGAAAAUGGAAGGCAAAAGGUGUUAUAUUCUGCAGUGAACUUUUCAGAACAAGAAAUAAUCCAGAAUUAUAAAUUGGAAAUACGAGAGCCGUGUGUUCCCAGUCCCACUGCAUUGCCAUUUGAGGUAUACGUAACAGAAAACCAGUAGGGUAUUUUCACAAGACAGACCCUGCUCAGAGGUUUGGAGAAUCUGAACAAUUUUAUACAUCUGCUAACUAAUGUGUUAUUAUCUUUAAGAAUGAAAAGCCCCCAGUGAAAAUCUAGUUGCUGUUAUCUGACAUUCACAAUUGUGCUGUGAAAAUUGCACAGACACGAUGUCUUCUUUCUACAUUAUUUACCACUCCUUUAAAAUCUCUUUUCUGCUAUUCUCAUAUUUUCCUUUUUGUCAAACCACAUGUUAUUCAAGGAUCAUGGAUAUUUAGUCCAUGUAAGUGCAUAAUGAGGACAUUGAGCCUAAGUAUAAUUAAAACCCUUCUACGUAAAAUGAUUACAUAUUCAAUUAAUAGAAACAUACUUUAAAAUCUCCCUUGAUUUUUAAUCUGUUGACAGAGGCAGCUGCUGCUUCCAGUGGUCUUUUUGUAUGCAUUGACUCUUCUUGUCAGCAGUAUUACAUCAAUAAAUGCAUACGCCUGUCAUGCUGUGAUUAAA